rnacentral:tRNA from 1 species
GGUGGGGUGCCAGAGUGGUCGAAUGGACUGGUUUUGAAAACCAGCGUACGGUUCGCCGUACCGUGGGUUCGAAUCCCACCCCCACCGC